CCUACGGGAGGCAGCAGUGGGGAAUAUUGCACAAUGGGGGAAACCCUGAUGCAGCAACGCCGCGUGAGUGAAGAAGUAUUUCGGUAUGUAAAGCUCUAUCAGCAGGGAAGAAGAUUACGUUAACUGAGUAAUAAGCCCCGGCUAACUCCGUGCCAGCAGCCGCGGUCAUACGUAGGGGGCAAGCGUUAGCCGGAUUUACUGGGUGAAAAGGGGGCGGAGACGGUGAGACAAGUCUGAAGUGAAGGCCCCGGGCUCAACCCCGGGUCCGCUUUGGAGACUGCCUGACUGGAGUGCGGGAGAGGCAAGCGGAAUUCCUAGUGUAGCGGUGAAAUGCGUAGAUAUUAGGAAGAACACCAGUGGCGAAGGCGGCUUGCUGGACAGUAACUGACGUUGAGGCUCGAAAGCGUGGGGAGCAAACAGGAUUAGAUACCCUGGUAGUC
rnacentral:rRNA from 1 species